GCCAGGGUGGGAGAAGACUUGCUUGGUAAAGUGCUUGCCAUGAAAGCGUGGAGACUGGAAUUUGGAUUCCCAGCACACCAUGAAAAUCUGAGUGUAGCAGUACACAUCUGGAAUCCCAGCACUGGGGAGGAAGAGACAGGAGGAUUUCUGAGGCUUACUACUGUGCUAAGAAGCCUUCUCUGAUGCAUCAUUCCUGCCAUGAUGUGAUGCUUUGCCGUGCACCCAGUGACCAUGGAUGGAUGGAAACCUGUGAAACCAAGAGCCAAGAUACCUUUCUUCUUCAUAUGUUGAUUAGCUCAGAUGUAUUGUCAUAAUAAUGGAAAGCUAGCACAGCCAGUUGGUGUGCAGAAUUGA